CCUACGGGAGGCAGCAGUGGGGAAUAUUGCGCAAUGGGGGAAACCCUGACGCAGCGACGCCGUGUGAGGGAAGAAGGCCUUCGGGUCGUAAACCUCUGUCGGGAGGGAAGAACCGCCGGGUUCCGAACAGGGACCCGGCCUGACGGUACCUCCGAAGGAAGCGCCGGCUAACUCCGUGCCAGCAGCCGCGGUAAUACGGAGGGCGCAAGCGUUAAUCGGAAUCACUGGGCGUAAAGCGCGCGUAGGCGGCCAGAUAAGUCGGGCGUGAAAGCCCUCGGCUCAACCGAGGAACUGCGUUCGAUACUGUUUGGCUUGAGUCCUGGAGAGGGUGGCGGAAUUCCGGGUGUAGGAGUGAAAUCCGUAGAUAUCCGGAGGAACACCGGUGGCGAAGGCGGCCACCUGGACAGGUACUGACGCUGAGGUGCGAAAGCGUGGGGAG
rnacentral:rRNA from 1 species